UCUUCCCCACCGACCUUCUUUGCCACCUCGAUCAGCCGAUGUUUGACCAUCGUUCUUCGCUCCGAUGCCAUCAAUAGACUCACCAUCGAACGAUGAUCAAAACCCAACCACCCUCCUGUCGUGAAACGCUCUCAUCCGCCACGAAUCGACGUUAAAAGCACCGUGGAGAACCUCCCUCGUUGCCUCGAUUUUACGCCGAUCCCGGCCAAACCGUCGGCCGUAGUGUCUCACCACCCCCAGCAGCAUUGUGUUCCCUGACUUGUUUCGCUCAAAACCCAACCAGUGGGUGGCGUCGUCACUGCUGGUUCCGUCAAUCUCCGACGUGGUUGAACAGGUGCAAUCGGCCGCCGUUGCACGCUCCCUCACGUGCCGUCGGGUGCCCGUGGACCUUGUCUUGGCCUGGAGAAAUUUCCAGAGUCGGGCUGACCCGACCUGCCUGGUUCGGUCUAGUCACCGAGUCAACUCGGUCUGAGUCAACUCGUAUGAGUCAACCCGUUGACUUUGACCAAAAAGUCAGGAUCCCAUUUUAUGUUUUUCGACGUCUUGAAUCCGAAUCCGAAGUCUGUUUUGUCAAAUUCGCACCCGAUAAGCCGUUUUUCUUAAGUCAGUCCACAGUCACUUGAAAAUCGCUCUCGAUAAUAAGCCGAUAUUUGAGAUACCAUGCUAAGAAGUAAACAACAGAAGAUUGUAUUGCCAAAAGUUCAGCCAGCAAAGACGUCCCUGAACCAGCUGAGUUUGAAAAUUCCAUCAACGUUCCUAGGCAGACCUCCUACGCCAAACAUUCCAUUGCAUCCAUCACCAAAGUUUUUUUUUUUUAUUUCUUUUACGUAUAAGUUUUUUUUAGGGAUUAUUCAUAAUUUUGUAAGUUAUUGACGCAAAACUAGACAAUCCAACAAAACGUAAAUCAUAAUUGUAAUUUCUAUGCACUUGAUAUUGAUAGGCUAAGUGAAGGGAAAGCAAAGGGCGUCCAUAACAACUUGUAGAAGUUGAUACUGCGCAACAUGUGAUGGCUUUCGUUUUCAAA